rnacentral:rRNA from 1 species
AGAGUUUGAUCAUGGCUCAGAGUGAACGCUGGCGGCAUGCCUAACACAUGCAAGUCGAACGGUAACAGGCCCGCAAGGGUGCUGACGAGUGGCGGACGGGUGAGGAAUACAUCGGAAUUUGCCCAGUCGUGGGGGAUAACGUAGGGAAACUUACGCUAAUACCGCAUACGACCGGAAGGUGAAAGCGGGGGAUCCGUAAGGACCUCGCGCGAGUGGAUGAGCCGAUGUCGGAUUAGCUAGUUGGCGGGGUAAAGGCCCACCAAGGCGACGAUCCGUAGCUGGUCUGAGAGGAUGAUCAGCCACACUGGGACUGAGACACGGCCCAGACUCCUACGGGAGGCAGCAGUGGGGAAUAUUGGACAAUGGGGGCAACCCUGAUCCAGCAAUGCCGCGUGUGUGAAGAAGGCCUUCGGGUUGUAAAGCACUUUUAUCCGGAACGAAACGCGCUUGGUGAAUAGCCAGGUGAACUGACGGUACCGGAGGAAUAAGCACCGGCUAACUUCGUGCCAGCAGCCGCGGUAAUACGAAGGGUGCAAGCGUUACUCGGAAUUACUGGGCGUAAAGCGUGCGUAGGUGGUUUUUUAAGUCCGUUGUGAAAGCCCUGGGCUCAACCUGGGAAUGGCAGUGGAUACUGGAAAGCUAGAGUGCGGUAGAGGGUAGUGGAAUUCCCGGUGUAGCAGUGAAAUGCGUAGAGAUCGGGAGGAACACCAGUGGCGAAGGCGGCUACCUGGACCAGCACUGACACUGAGGCACGAAAGCGUGGGGAGCAAACAGGAUUAGAUACCCUAGUAGUCC